GACGAACGCUGGCGGCGUGCUUAACACAUGCAAGUCGAACGGAAAGGCCCUGCUUGCAGGGUACUCGAGUGGCGAACGGGUGAGUAACACGUGGGUGAUCUGCCCUGCACUUCGGGAUAAGCCUGGGAAACUGGGUCUAAUACCGGAUAGGAGCCAUUUUUAGUGUGAUGGUUGGAAAGUUUUUUCGGUGUAGGAUGAGCUCGCGGCCUAUCAGCUUGUUGGUGGGGUAAUGGCCUACCAAGGCGGCGACGGGUAGCCGGCCUGAGAGGGUGGACGGCCACAUUGGGACUGAGAUACGGCCCAGACUCCUACGGGAGGCAGCAGUGGGGAAUAUUGCACAAUAGGCGCAAGCCUGAUGCAGCGACGCCGCGUGGGGGAUGACGGCCUUCGGGUUGUAAACUCCUUUCGCUAGGGACGAAGCUUUUGUGACGGUACCUAGAUAAGAAGCACCGGCUAACUACGUG
rnacentral:rRNA from 1 species